rnacentral:rRNA from 1 species
AUCAGAAGUGCGAAUGCUGACAUAAGUAACGAUAAAGCGGGUGAAAAGCCCGCUCGCCGGAAGACCAAGGGUUCCUGUCCAACGUUAAUCGGGGCAGGGUGAGUCGACCCCUAAGGCGAGGCCGAAAGGCGUAGUCGAUGGGAAACAGGUUAAUAUUCCUGUACUUGGUGUUACUGCGAAGGGGGGACGGAGAAGGCUAUGUUAGCCGGGCGACGGUUGUCCCGGUUUAAGCAUGUAGGCUGGUUGUCCAGGCAAAUCCGGAUAAUCAAGGCUGAGGUGUGAUGACGAGGCACUACGGUGCUGAAGUAACAAAUGCCCUGCUUCCAGGAAAAGCCUCUAAGCAUCAGGUAACAUCAAAUCGUACCCCAAACCGACACAGGUGGUCAGGUAGAGAAUACCAAGGCGCUUGAGAGAACUCGGGUGAAGGAACUAGGCAAAAUGGUGCCGUAACUUCGGGAGAAGG